rnacentral:misc_RNA from 1 species
UUUCCGUAGGUGAACCUGCGGAAGGAUCAUUAUUGAUUGGCCUAACGGCCUUAUAUCAUAAUUCCAAUAACCACUGUGAACCGUAUUGACCCUUGCCUCCCGGCGAGGUUGUCAACUUUUUUAUACCAUAAACAAUGUGUAAUGAACGUAAUAUUAUUGAAACAAAACAAAACUUUCAACAACGGAUCUCUUGGCUCUCGCAUCGAUGAAGAACGCAGC